GACGAACGCUGGCGGCGUGCUUAACACAUGCAAGUCGAACGGACAGGCCCUGCUUUUGUGGGGUGCUCGAGUGGCGAACGGGUGAGUAACACGUGAGUAACCUGCCCUUGACUUUGGGAUAACUUCAGGAAACUGGGGCUAAUACCGGAUAGGAGCUCCUGCUGCAUGGUGGGGGUUGGAAAGUUUCGGCGGUUGGGGAUGGUCUCGCGGCUUAUCCGCUGGUUGGUGGGGUAGGGGUUUACCAAGGCUUUGACGGGUAGCCGGCCUUGGAGGGUGACCGGCCACAUUGGGCCUGCGAUACGCCCCAGACUCCUACGGGAGGCAGUGGGGGGGAGUAUUGCACAGUGGGCGGAAGCCUGAUGCAGCAACGCCGCGUGCGGGAUGCCGUCCUUCGGGUUGUAAACCGCUUUCGCCUGUGACGAAGCGUGAGUGACGGUAAUGGGUAAAGAAGCACCGGCUAACUACGUG
rnacentral:rRNA from 1 species